rnacentral:rRNA from 1 species
GAUGAACGCUGGCGGCGUGCCUAAUACAUGCAAGUCGAGCGAACGGACGAGAAGCUUGCUUCUCUGAUGUUAGCGGCGGACGGGUGAGUAACACGUGGAUAACCUACCUAUAAGACUGGAAUAACUUCGGGAAACCGGAGCUAAUACCGGAUAAUAUUUUGAACCGCAUGGUUCAAAAGUGAAAGACGGUCUUGCUGUCACUUAUAGAUGGAUCCGCGCUGCAUUAGCUAGUUGGUAAGGUAACGGCUUACCAAGGCAACGAUGCAUAGCCGACCUGAGAGGGUGAUUGGCCACACUGGAACUGAGACACGGUCCAGACUCCUACGGGAGGCAGCAGUAGGGAAUCUUCCGCAAUGGGCGAAAGCCUGACGGAGCAACGCCGCGUGAGUGAUGAAGGUCUUCGGAUCGUAAAACUCUGUUAUUAGGGAAGAACAUAUGUGUAAGUAACUGUGCACAUCUUGACGGUACCUAAUCAGAAAGCCACGGCUAACUACGUG